rnacentral:rRNA from 1 species
UACGGAGGGGACUAGCGUUGUUCGGAAUUACUAGGCGUAAAGCGCACGUAGGCGGCUUUGUAAGUCAGGGGUGAAAUCCCGAGGCUCAACCUCGGAACUGCCUUUGAUACUGCAAAUCUCGAGUCCGGAAGAGGUGAGUGGAAUUCCUAGUGUAGAGGUGAAAUUCGUAGAUAUUAGGAAGAACACCAGUGGCGAAGGCGGCUCACUGGUCCGGUACUGACGCUGAGGUGCGAAAGCGUGGGGAGCAAACAGG